UUAAACCGGUCGCUUCUAUCAAAUCUUCCGCACGGCGACGCCCGCCUCCGCCAAAUCUCAACCACCGGCAUACCCGCUCCUGCGCCGCCCUGACGACAGAACCCAAUGACCGCUGGCGUCAUCCCCGAGUCCUGCACCACCGCCCUCGUCGCUCAAUCGCCGCCCCGGCAGAGCACUCCAUUGCUUCUCCCCGGCCUUCGCGCCGCUCCCCUUCUCUCUCCCGCGCCGCUUCCCUUCCCCGUUCC
rnacentral:lncRNA from 1 species